CAGGAACCCGGUGCGAAUCCGGGACGGUCCCGCCACUGUGACCGGGGAGCGAACCCCGCUCGUGCCACGGCUGCGCUCAGCUGGAAGGCCGGGGAUCUCGCGGUGAUCCGGGAGUCAGGAGACUG
rnacentral:ncRNA from 1 species